rnacentral:rRNA from 1 species
UACGGGGGGAGCAAGCGUUGUUCGGAUUUACUGGGCGUAAAGGGCGGGUAGGCGGCCACCGCAAGUCAGUUGUGAAAUCUCUGGGCUUAACCCAGAAAGGUCAACUGAUACUGCGGGGCUAGAGUGCAGAAGGGGCAACUGGAAUUCUCGGUGUAGCGGUGAAAUGCGUAGAUAUCGAGAGGAACACCUGCGGCGAAGGCGGGUGCUGGCUGACACUGACGCUGAACUGCGAAAGCUAGGGGAGCGAACGGG